rnacentral:rRNA from 1 species
CGUGUAGGCGGUGGUGCAUGUCGCGUGUGAAAGCCCCCGGCUCAACCGGGGGAAGUGCGCGCGAAACUGCAUCGCUGGAGUGCCGGAGAGGGUGGCGGAAUUCCCGGUGUAGAGGUGAAAUUCGUAGAUAUCGGGAGGAACACCAGUGGCGAAGGCGGCCACCUGGACGGACACUGACGCUGAGACGCGAAAGCGUGGGUAGCAAACAGGAUUAGAUACCCUGGUAGUCCACGCCGUAAACGAUGGGAACUAGGUGUGGUGGGUGUUGACCCCCGCCGUGCCGCAGCUAACGCAUUAAGUUCCCCGCCUGGGAAGUACGGUCGCAAGACUAAAA